rnacentral:rRNA from 1 species
UUGAACGCUGGCGGCAUGCUUUACACAUGCAAGUCGAACGGUAACAGGGAGCUUGCUCCGCUGACGAGUGGCGAACGGGUGAGUAAUGCAUCGGAACGUGCCUAUUUGUGGGGGAUAACGUAGCGAAAGUUACGCUAAUACCGCAUACGCCCUACGGGGGAAAGCGGGGGAUCUUCGGACCUCGCGUUAUUGGAUUGGCCUAUGUCUGAUUAGCUAGUUGGUGAGGUAAAGGCUCACCAAGGCUUCGAUCAGUAGCUGGUCUGAGAGGAUGAUCAGCCACACUGGAACUGAGACACGGUCCAGACUCCUACGGGAGGCAGCAGUGGGGAAUUUUGGACAAUGGGCGAAAGCCUGAUCCAGCCAUUCCGCGUGAGUGAAGAAGGCCUUCGGGUUGUAAAGCUCUUUCGGCGGGAACGAAAUGGUCACGGUUAAUAACCGUGACUUCUGACGGUACCUGAAGAAGAAGCACCGGCUAACUACGU